rnacentral:rRNA from 1 species
CAGCAGCCGCGGGAAUACAGAGGGUGCGAGCGUUAAUCGGAUUUACUGGGCGUAAAGCGUGCGUAGGCGGCUUUUUAAGUCGGAUGUGAAAUCCCUGAGCUUAACUUAGGAAUUGCAUUCGAUACUGGGAAGCUAGAGUAUGGGAGAGGAUGGUAGAAUUCCAGGUGUAGCGGUGAAAUGCGUAGAGAUCUGGAGGAAUACCGAUGGCGAAGGCAGCCAUCUGGCCUAAUACUGACGCUGAGGUACGAAAGCAUGGGGAGCAAACAGGAUUAGAUACCCCCGUAGUCCCUGUCUCUAUACA